CAAAAUCACUUAAGAAGUACCUAAACAGUGGGAGAUUAAGUUUGAGUUAAAAGGCUAGAAAGAAUCAUGUCGAAAAUCUCAAGCGACUCCUGGUCACCCCCAAAAGCUGCACUUUGCUCCGGGGUUUGCCCGAGAUACGCUCUGCUCUACCUGGUGCAUCCUUUCCCUUCAAAGAUCCCUGUUUGCUCAAGAGUUUCCCUUUGUAUAUGGAAUGGACCCAAACUUACGUAGGCUUGCUUUAUUGGUACGCAAAAAAAACCCACCCAAACCAACCCACAAGUGAGAUUGAAAGGGAAGGAUGACUAGAGAAGAAGAAGGAAAAAAAAAAAAAGGAAAAGAUGAGAGCCAAGAGUUAACUGCUUUGCAGGAGCCGAACAACUCAUUCAUUCCAUGAGAGAGUUAUGCAAUAUUUGUAGCUCUGCAAAACCAGCGAUUAUCUGGCAGCAUCAGCUCUGCAUGGAAAUUUUGGGCUAAGAAAUGAGAUGUCCUGAUAAUUCAAUGCAACCUUAUAUCCGAGGACUGCCGCGAAGUGCCCCCUCCAAAUAAACCACCCACAUAAUAAUGACCCUGGAGAGCAACGCAAAACCCAACUGGCUUCCACACAAACUUCACCAAAUUACUAGGUUCGCCUGAAGACAGGGAAACUGGCAAGAGAUCCUGUGAGAGGGGUGGAAAUAAAGCACGACAACUACCCACAAAGGGUUUGGUAUUUUUUUAAAGGCAGUAUCUAAAAGCUUCCGCCAUCGAGCUACUGCAAAAUCCUUCAUUCCAAGUCUACUGUCUCCAGGGAGCCUGGCCCACACUCCAGAUUUACUAACAAGCUCCCUUCCGAAUUUUUGGUGGUGAAGGGAGGCUCUCUGGCACGGAUGCUCUCAAGUUGCAGUCUGACACGGCAGAGGCAAAGACGGGGUGGCUGGAAAAUGAGCUCACGCCUUUCCCUCCACUCCCAGCUGGGACAGCAGCUCCUUUCUUCCCCUUUCUCAGGACUACACGAGUGUAAACACCACCACGCGUGCUCACGGACACCGGCAGGGCUGCUGCGAGAUUGCGGAGACCGUUCCGGAGCGCCCAGCUCGGCCCCGUUCACCUCCGGGCUGCGCGGCCCAGGGGGAGCCGGGACUCUCUGGGACCGCUCACACGUGGGGGGAAUGGGUGUUUAUUAAAUAUUAAUUGACUUUAAUGCUCUGAGUUGGAGCACGACCGCCCAGUUCGGAUUGGAGACACACGUGCAGGGACAGUCUACUCCGGCUUAGGGCAUUCUCCGCUCCGCUCUCCAGCUUUCCGUGGAGCUGCGCUUCUCUGCGCCGCGGUAUCGUCCUAGUCCCUCAGGACCAUGCUGAGCACCUCAUAGUCCCUCAAGAGCCUUACCAAACUUGCAGAGUACAUUGCACACGUCAGCGAGAGAGAACACAGAUAAACGUGCCCCUCUCGCUCCAUCCAUCCAUCCAUCCAUCGUGCCGAAUUCCGGACGGAGUGUCACUGUUUUAAGAGGGAGUCUUUUAAUUGCACCGGGAAUUAUGUUCUGCUGCGUCUGAUGGCAACACGCUAGGCUUAAUUGCAGUGUCUGGGACAUUCUGGGGAGGGGCUGGUAAAUGAAGGUUUUGCAGUUUAACAGAAAACAAUCCAAGCUUGCAAGCACCCCCCAUAAAUAGUUUCUUUUAGAAUCUAUAUCUGUAUCUACAUGGGGUUAGCACAAUCUCCGCGAUCUGUAAAUAUAGGAGAGGAAGGGACUGGCCAUUACUUCUGCAGCUCUGUCUGCCCCCUCUAAGACAAACUGCCUUCUGCAUGGCACAUACGCAGCCCCAGCAACACCAAUAAAUAUUUAAAGCGAAAAGGAUGGCUUUAUGGCGGGACGAGGGGUGGAUUUCGCUCUCUCCCUCUCUCUUUUGAAGAUGCGUUUUCGGUGAAACGUCAUGAAAGGAGUUGGGGACAAUUCCCCCCCACCCCUCCCCCUCCGCCACCCCCAGAGCACGCCAUCAGAUAAUUUACACUCCCCCCACUCCCCCGCCAACCCCCACCCCGGGCUCCUUUCUUUAGGGAGGCUGGAGCUUACCUGUGCUCCUCAUCCAAGGGUAGAUACGGAAGUUACUGUCGCUUUGCAAAUCUGAGUCCCUCUGGUCCGUUUUGCUGCAACUCUGCUUGGAGGCAUCUCCCGGGCACAUCAUGGAGAGGUUUUGCUCAAAAGGGGAACAGUGCAUGUUGAAGGAGCCGGGCUCCAGGCCGUAACCGGAGGAAUACAUGCUGGGGGGCUGGGGGUGCACGGCGCUGCCACUGGAGUAGAGCCCGGGCAUGGAGGCGGCGAAGGGAGGCGUGGAUCCGGCCCCAUAACCCGCUCGCUGGGUAUUGGAGGCGAAAGCGCAAGAAGUUUGCUCGGGAAAGACUCCGGAUGGGAAAACCGAACU